rnacentral:rRNA from 1 species
AUGUCUUUGAUUGAUAAAUACUCGAGCAAGAUGAAGGGAUGGAAGCCAAAAUUAUUGGCGCCAGCGGGGCGCCUCGCUCUGACAAGUUCAGUACUCAUGGCCCUUCCAAUACACUUCUCGUCUGUACUUCCCCUGCCUGCUUGGGCGAUCAAGAUCAUUGAGAGAAGGUGUCGGGGUUUUGUCUGGAAAGGGGAGGAGGAGACAAACGGAGGCCACUGCUUGCUCCCUUGGGCGCAAGUCUGCCGUCCUAAGGAAUUU